rnacentral:rRNA from 1 species
CAAGUAGGUGGUCUCAUUUGUCUAGGGUGAAAUCCUUGAGCUUAACUCAAGAAGUGCCCUAGAAACGGUGAGACUCGAGUACUGGAGAGGGUCGUGGAAUUCCCGGUGUAGCGGUGAAAUGCGUAGAGAUCGGGAGGAACACCAGAGGCGAAGGCGGCGACCUGGACAGUUACUGACACUCAACUGCGAAAGCGUGGGGAGCAAACAGGAUUAGAUACCCAGGUAGUCCACGCUGUAAACGAUGGGAACUAGGUUUGAUGGGUCUUGACCCCCGUCGAACCGGCGCUAACGCACUAAGUUCCCCGCCUGGGAAGUACGGUCGCAAGACUAAA